rnacentral:rRNA from 1 species
GAUGAACGCUGGCGGCGUGCCUAAUACAUGCAAGUAGAACGCUGAAGGAAGGAGCUUGCUCUUUCCGGAUGAGUUGCGAACGGGUGAGUAACGCGUAGGUAACCUGCCUGGUAGCGGGGGAUAACUAUUGGAAACGAUAGCUAAUACCGCAUAACAGUAGAUGUUGCAUGAUAUCUACUUAAAAGGUGCAAUUGCACCACUACCAGAUGGACCUGCGUUGUAUUAGCUAGUUGGUGAGGUAACGGCUCACCAAGGCGACGAUACAUAGCCGACCUGAGAGGGUGAUCGGCCCCACUGGGACUGAGACACGGCCCAGACUCCUACGGGAGGCAGCAGUAGGGAAUCUUCGGCAAUAGACGGAAGUCUGACCGAGCAACGCCGCGUGAGUGAAGAAGGUUUUCGGAUCGUAAAGCUCUGUUGUAAGAGAAGAACGAGUGUGAGAGUGGAAAGUUCACACUGUGACGGUAUCUUACCAGAAAGGGACGGCUAACUACGUG